GGUCCUUUUCACUACAAUCUUGUAUGGCCAUUAGCAGCCUCUUCACUCACUGUCGAAGAUGACCGCUUUUUCGCUGGCCUUCUUCGAUCGACGCUAUGUAUCACCACCGCUCAUUACCAGCUGCUCAACUAGUCUAAGAUCGCUCUCUCUCAACUCUUGGUGUGCUAUCAGCUUGAUUUAGUUCAAACCAAACCAUCUUUCUUUGUGAGUAAUCUUUGGGUUAAUAUGUGAGAUUCUAUCUGUAUAAAUUUCAAAUUUUAGUACUGGGAAGUAAACCUGCUUGCAGAAAAAAAUUUCUUAAAGUAUAUUAGAGAAAAAGAUUUAGAAAAGGUACUUUUUUUUUUUUUGAUUUCAUGUGUUUAUUUGUUAGGUAAUUGUGUAUAAUUAGAUUCAAAUUGCUAAAAUGAUUUAGGAUGUAGCUUGAUAUGUAUGGAAAUAUUAGUAUUAGGAUCUAACCUUUUUUUGGUUGGAUCUCCAAGAACAUUUUCAACUUGGACUCUCG
rnacentral:lncRNA from 1 species